GACGCUCUCUGCGAUGUGGAUAAGGGUGUAUUGGAGUUCGACAUGUGUUUUCCUUCUAGUGCUGCGUGAGACUCAUUCGUGUCCACUUGGAAAAAUUCACAGGAUUCCUACUUAGAUGAGGACCCAGUUGAGGAUGACAAUAUGACUCAUCCUGUCGUGAAUGACAAUGUGUACCCUCUUGCUGAGAGUGACAAUGUGGUCC
rnacentral:lncRNA from 1 species